UACGUAGGGUGCAAGCGUUAAUCGGAAUUACUGGGCGUAAAGCGUGCGCAGGCGGCUCGGAAAGAAAGAUGUGAAAUCCCAGGGCUUAACCUUGGAAUGGCAUUUUUAACUCCCGAGCUAGAGUAUGUCAGAGGGGGGUAGAAUUCCACGUGUAGCAGUGAAAUGCGUAGAGAUGUGGAGGAAUACCGAUGGCGAAGGCAGCCCCCUGGGAUAAUACUGACGCUCAGGCACGAAAGCGUGGGGAGCAAAC
rnacentral:rRNA from 1 species